CCUACGGGUGGCAGCAGUGAGGAAUAUUGGUCAAUGGUCGGGAGACUGAACCAGCCAAGCCGCGUGAGGGAGGAAGGUACAGAGUAUCGUAAACCUCUUUUGUCAGGGAACAAAGGCGGGGACGUGUCCCCGGAUGAGUGUACCUGAAGAAAAAGCAUCGGCUAACUCCGUGCCAGCAGCCGCGGUAAUACGGAGGAUGCGAGCGUUAUCCGGAUUUAUUGGGUUUAAGGGGUGCGCAGGCGGUCUGUUAAGUCAGCGGUAAAAGCCCGGGGCGAAACCCCGGCCAGCCGUUGAAACUGGCAGUCUCGAGUUGGAGAGAAGUAUGCGGAAUGCGUGGUGUAGCGGUGAAAUGCUUAGAUAUCACGAAGAACCCCGAUUGCGAAGGCAGCUUACUAAACUGUGACUGACAUUGAUGCUCGAAAGUGUGGGUAUCAAACAGGAUUAGAUACCCGUGUAGUC
rnacentral:rRNA from 1 species